rnacentral:rRNA from 1 species
AGUGUAGGCGGUUGCCUAAGUCGGAUGUGAAAGCCCCGGGCUUAACCUGGGAAUCGCAUUCGAUACUGGGUGGCUAGAGUUUGGUAGAGGUAAGUGGAAUUCCGGGUGUAGCGGUGAAAUGCGUAGAUAUCCGGAGGAACAUCAGUGGCGAAGGCGGCUUACUGGACCAAAACUGACGCUGAGGCUCGAAAGCGUGGGUAGCAAACA